CCUACGGGUGGCUGCAGUGGGGAAUAUUGGACAAUGGGCGAAAGCCUGAUCCAGCCAUGCCGCGUGUGUGAAGAAGGCCUUCGGGUUGUAAAGCACUUUCAGUGGGGAAGAAAGCCUUGGGGCUAAUACCCUCGAGGAAGGACAUCACCCACAGAAGAAGCACCGGCUAACUCCGUGCCAGCAGCCGCGGUAAUACGGAGGGUGCGAGCGUUAAUCGGAAUUACUGGGCGUAAAGCGCGCGUAGGCGGUCUGAUAAGCCGGUUGUGAAAGCCCCGGGCUCAACCUGGGAACGGCAUCCGGAACUGUCAGGCUAGAGUGCAGGAGAGGAAGGUAGAAUUCCCGGUGUAGCGGUGAAAUGUGUAGAGAUCGGGAGGAAUACCAGUGGCGAAGGCGGCCUUCUGGACUGACACUGACGCUGAGGUGCGAAAGCGUGGGUAGCAAACAGGAUUAGAUACCCCAGUAGUC
rnacentral:rRNA from 1 species